GACUAUGACACAAACUACAUGGAAAUACACUCUGUUUGCUCAAGUGAAAACAGUUAGGUAUCCAUUUUUGCCUACUCUUCUGUUGUAUUUCUAAACAGACCAAGGUUCUAUGCAGCAGAUGAAUCGAUCUUUUUCACACCCGAAGGUUCUACGCUGCAGAUGAAUCGAUCUUCUUCACACCCGAAGCUACCUUCGAAUUUUACAAAACAGCAACUGCAUGUUCUUAAAGCACAAAUAUUAGCUUUUAGACGUAUAAAGGUAUUUGUUAAGUGUACAAUUUUAUAUAUUCGAGUGAUCUUCACACCCUAAGCUCAUUUGAAAUGACUGUUGGGUUAAAACAGUGUUUUGAAACCACUGUUAGGUUAAACAGUGUUUGAAACCACUGUUAGGUUAAACAGUGUUUCGAAACGGCUGUUAGGUUAAACAGUGGUUUCAAAACACUGUUGGGUUAAAACAGUGUUUUGUGGAGAAAACAGUGGUUCUUUUUUUCCAAACAGUAGUUUGACUUUGGUCAAACAGACUGUGGUCAAAUAGCGUUUUAACUUUGGUCAAACAGGGUUUUAACUUUGGUCAAACAGACUUUUGAACCACUAAGAAUCAUAUUUUUGCAAUCAGUUGUUUGACUUUGGUCAAACAGUGGUCAAACAGUGUUACAAGAGUCCAGCCAGGAUGAAGUCGAGAUUUGUACAUAAAGUUAUUUGUGCGAUUUGCAAUACUGAACAACAGGUUGCUCAAAUAUGUACCAACCGUGGAGUGAAAAUGGGGGAAUACUUCUGCGGAAUUUGCAAGUUCUAUGAUGAUGAUGUAAAAACUACCUACAUUUAAAAAUGUUCGAAUAAUAUGCUAAUAUCUACUGUUUUUUUUUAUUUGUGCUUUGUGACUAGACUUCGAGGGAACAGUUUCACUACAAUGAUUGUGGGAUUUGUAGGUUAGUAAGGAAGUGAUAUUGCUUACAUGGGAGGUAUAGUGGAGAAAUUGGGUUGUUUGUUUAUCAUCUUCGUAAUUUGUGCUUUGUGACUAGACUUCAAGAUUUUUGAUUGUCACCAGCAACCGUUAUGUUGUUUAUCAUCUUCGGUUUUUGUGUCAUAACUAAUAUGAGGUUAUAUUAUCAUCUCUAUUUCAACGGAUGCUUGUAUGGUUUGUUGCAUUUGGGUGUAUUGGUAUUUGGAUUUAUAUGUUGAAACUGAUUUCAUUGAAGUGCACAUAGGUUGCUCGAUCAAAUGCCACAAUGAAAUUUUGGUGUUUUUUAUUGAUUUCUUUCGGUUUAGACCUAUUGGAUUCGAUUUGGAUUAUGUCUGAACAAAAUGGAUUCCAUACAUCACCCUACUCAAUUCGAUUUGGUUUGGUUUGGUUUAAUUGCAGUUUGGUAGUUGUUUUCGAACAGGUAUGGCUUUGUGUUAGGUGUUCAUUUUAAUUUAAUACUUUCAUGUGAUAUAGAAUAAUCUCACUAUUGGUUGAUUAUAUUUAUCGUGAUUACCUUUAACUUUUUAUUGUGCUUAAACACGAAUAUAUUCCAUAAUCGUUGGUUUCGUUUGCCUCGAUAAGCUUCUUUUGGUUUAAAA